rnacentral:lncRNA from 1 species
CCUGUCUCUGGCAGGACUGUGAGGCGGCACUUAGCGCCCUGGUCGCUCGCGCCCCGCCGACGCCUCCUUUUUCUCUCCCUACCUCUGCGCUCUGCGGCCGCCGCUGAGAUCUGGGACGGCGGCACAUCCAGCCCGGGAGACGACUGGCUAGGAAAUAGAACUCUCCUGGCAACCACCAUUCUACUUGAUGCCUCUAUGAAUCUGACUACUCUAGGUACCUCAGAUGAGUGGAAUUAUGCAGUAUUUGUCCUUUUGUGUGUACAACUAAUUUGACAGGCAGUAUGAUAAGGAACAAUCUGAAUGACACGUAAACAGGAGGGGGUAAAUUCCAAGCACAGCCUGAAUGAGAAGUACAACUCAUUUCCUGUAACCUAGAUGCCUUUUUAACACAUCUAUGCAGUCUCCAUGUGAAACCAGGUGCUGUUCCCAAAGGAGAAAACACUGCCCUCCAGUGGUCUUCAAUGAAGAAAUGGAAAUAGUUUCAGGUGGAAACCAGGCUUCUUGGAAGACUUCAAACUAUGCCAAAUGGUCUGAUUUCACCAUAGAGAAUGUUAUACUAUUAAUUGCCAAUUUGCAUAUGUGUGCAGCUGCUGUUUUGGCUCUGAACUCAAUCCGAUAAGCUUGCUGGAGGUAUCGCAGAGCACUUGGCAGCUUUCCUAUUUGAAAAGAAAGCCUCUCCCCUCUACAGAACAGCUGAUCGUCUAUCAGCGAUAGACCCUGAUGGCGUGAAUUACAAUUACACUACUUUUCACACUAAAUCUGGGUGAUAGCUACUUGGAAAGAAGUUUCAUCAUUUUUUACCACAAACUGGAAAAAGAAUUACAUGGUCAUGCUGUGCUUUUAAAGGCAGUUUGGUUCACUUUUGUCUAUUUAACACCUAAUUCCAAGAAGUCCAUAGGCAUCUAGAGAUCUGAAUGGCGCGUAAUGAAUUCACUGUUUAGAUUGAAGAUUUUAAAAAUCUACCUCAAAUUACAUUUAUUAACAGGGCGACCAGGAAGUGUUAAAGUUGUUAGACACUUCAUUUAUUAAAUAAUUUGUGGGUAUUUUCAGUUGUCAUAUCUAGAGUCAUGGGGUUUGCUUAUUUUUUUUAAUUAGCAAUCCAAAACAAUGCUACUGCAAUUUAACAAUUCAUCACAUAAUCUUGGGCUCUUCAGUUCAACUGCUAAUGUUAGAUAAUUCAGAUUGUUAUUUUUGUCUGUUUAUAAAUGAUUUUGGUUGCAUUGUGCUGUGAGGAGAACUGCAGCAGCCCAGGCAGAUGAUCUUUC